GCCAGGCAUGGUGACGCAUGCCUGUAAUCCCAGCAGCUCAGGAGGCUGAGGCAGGAAGAUUAAGAGUUCAAAGCCAGCCUCAGCAAAAGCAAGGUGCUAAGCAACUCUGUGAGAUCCUGUCUCUA
rnacentral:sRNA from 1 species